rnacentral:rRNA from 1 species
UACGGAGGGUGCAAGCAUUAAUCGGAUUUAUUGGGCGUAAAGGGCGCGUAGGCGGAUGAGCAAGUCAGAUGUGAAAUUCCGGAGCUCAACUUCGGAGCUGCAUUUGAAACUGCUCGUCUAGAGGGAUGGCGGAGAAAAUGGAAUUCCACGUGUAGCGGUGAAAUGCGUAGAUAUGUGGAAGAACACCGGUGGCGAAAGCGGUUUUCUAGCCUAGACCUGACGCUGAGGCGCGAGAGCAAGGGGAGCAAACAGG